UACGGAGGGGGCUAGCGUUGUUCGGAAUUACUGGGCGUAAAGGGCGCGUAGGCGGCUAGAUGUGUCAAAGGUGAAAUCCCUCGGCUCAACUGAGGAACUGCCUUUGAAACUGUCUGGCUUGAGGCCGGGAGAGGGUAGCGGAAUUCCCAGUGUAGCGGUGAAAUGCGUAGAUAUUGGGAGGAACACCAGUGGCGAAGGCGGCUACCUGGACCGGUUCUGACGCUGAGGCGCGAAAGCGUGGGUAGCAAACAGG
rnacentral:rRNA from 1 species